GUGGCCCUCGUGCCAAUAAGUAUGUGCCAAACAGGAAUUUGGGUCGGUGGUUCAACUGGUCGGGGGGAUCACAAGGGACAGAAGGACCACAAGGAACUCAAUGAACUCAAGGAGCUCAAGGGUCUCAAGGAACACAAGAAAACUUUUGACAAGUUGGUGAAACCUGCGUUAUAUGAUAUAGAUUAAACUUUGCAACUUUGCAUCACGUUGGUGAAACCUGUGUUAUAUGAUUGUAAAAGUUGGUGAACCCUUCGUUAUAUUGUUGAUGAUUUAGAGUAACUGAUGAUUUAGAUUAAACUUUGCAUCGCCUUACUUAUUCAUACUUUAUCCAUUUGAUAAUGAUUUCAAUGCAGAAUUUAAAAUUCCGGAUCAUAUUAAAUG
rnacentral:lncRNA from 1 species